AAUCUCAGUUCAGAUUGCAGGCUGCAACUCGCCUGCAUGAAGUCGGAAUUGCUAGUAAUCGUAGGUCAGCAUACUACGGUGAAUACGUUCCCGGGCCUUGUACACACCGCCCGUCAAACCAUGAGAGUUGGCAGCACCCGAAGUCGGUAGUCUAACCGCAAGGAGGACGCCGCCGAAGGUGGGGUUGAUGAUUAGGGUUAAGUCGUAACAAGGUAUC
rnacentral:rRNA from 1 species